rnacentral:rRNA from 1 species
CCUACGGGAGGCAGCAGUAGGGAAUCUUCCGCAAUGGACGAAAGUCUGACGGAGCAACGCCGCGUGAGUGAUGAAGGUUUUCGGAUCGUAAAACUCUGUUGUUAGGGAAGAACAAGUACCGGAGUAACUGCCGGUACCUUGACGGUACCUAACCAGAAAGCCACGGCUAACUACGUGCCAGCAGCCGCGGUAAUA